rnacentral:rRNA from 1 species
UUUUUUGAGAGUUUGAUCCUGGCUCAGGAUAAACGCUGGCGGUGUGCCUUAGGCAUGCAAGUCGAACGGUAACAGGUCUAGUUUACUAGAUGCUGACGAGUGGCAAACGGGUGAGUAACACGUAGGAAUCUACCUAGUAGCGGGGGAUAGCCCAUCGAAAGAUGGGAUAAUACCGCAUAAGCCCUUACGGGGAAAGCAUUUAUGCACUAUUAGAGGAGCCUGCGCGCUAUCAGUUAGUUGGUGGGGUAAAGGCCUACCAAGACUACGACGGCUAGCCGAUGUGAGAGCAUGAUCGGCCACAAGGUUACUGAGACACGGAACCUACACCUACGGGUGGCAGCAACCGGGAAUAUUGCGCAAUGGACGAAAGUCUGACGC